rnacentral:tRNA from 1 species
UGCAUUUUAGUAUAUGAAGUACGUGAAUUUUUGGAGUUCUCAGAGAUAGUUUGAUUCUUUUAUGUGCAA